ACUCAAUAGAUACCCGGGUAGUCCACGCCCUAAACGAUGUCUACUAGUUGUCGGGUCUUAAUUGACUUGGUAAACGCAGCUAAACGCGUGAAGUAGACCGCCUGGGGAGUACGGUCGCAAGAUUAAAACUCAAAGGAAUUGACGGGGACCCGCACAAGCGGUGGAUGAUGUGGAUUAAUUCGAUGCAACGCGAAAAACCUUACUACCCUUGACAUGGAUGGAAUCCCUGAGAGAUCGGGGAGUGCUCGAAAGAGAACCAUUACACAGGUGCUGCAUGGCUGUCGUCAGCUCGUGUCGUGAGAUGUUGGGUUAAGUCCCGCAACG
rnacentral:rRNA from 1 species